UGCCUUCAGUGUUGCCCAUUCAUCUUGGUUGCUAAUGAAUGUGGUGUCAGAGAAGGCAUAAAACAAGUUUUCCACUUUUGCAGUUUUUGCUGCCCUAGGAAUUGUUUUGUUUGCACUGGGUUUGCUGCAGUGGGACAACA
rnacentral:snoRNA from 1 species